rnacentral:rRNA from 1 species
UACGAAGGGGGCUAGCGUUGCUCGGAAUCACUGGGCGUAAAGCGCACGUAGGCGGCUUUUUAAGUCAGGGGUGAAAUCCUGGAGCUCAACUCCAGAACUGCCUUUGAUACUGAGAAGCUUGAGUCCGGGAGAGGUGAGUGGAACUGCGAGUGUAGAGGUGAAAUUCGUAGAUAUUAGGAAGAACACCAGUGGCGAAGGCGGCUCACUGGUCCGGUACUGACGCUGAGGUGCGAAAGCGUGGGGAGCAAACAGG